UACGUAGGGCGCAAGCGUUAUCCGGAAUUAUUGGGCGUAAAGAGCUCGUAGGCGGUUUGUCGCGUCUGCCGUGAAAGUCCGGGGCUCAACUCCGGAUCUGCGGUGGGUACGGGCAGACUAGAGUGCGGUAGGGGAGACUGGAAUUCCUGGUGUAGCGGUGAAAUGCGCAGAUAUCAGGAGGAACACCGGUGGCGAAGGCGGGUCUCUGGGCCGUAACUGACGCUGAGGAGCGAAAGCCAGGGGAGCAAACGGG
rnacentral:rRNA from 1 species